rnacentral:rRNA from 1 species
UGGGGAAUAUUGGACAAUGGGCGAAAGCCUGAUCCAGCCAUGCCGCGUGAGUGACGAAGGCCUUAGGGUUGUAAAACUCUUUCGUCGGGGACGAUAAUGACGGUACCCGAAGAAGAAGCUCCGGCUAACUUCGUGCCAGCAGCCGCGGUAAUACGAAGGGAGCUAGCGUUGUUCGGAAUCACUGGGCGUAAAGCGCACGUAGGCGGAUAGUUAAGUCAGGGGUGAAAUCCUGGGGCUCAACCCCAGAACUGCCUUUGAUACUGGCUGUCUCGAGGUCGAGAGAGGUUGGUGGAAUUCCUAGUGUAGAGGUGAAAUUCGUAGAUAUUAGGAAGAACACCAGUGGCGAAGGCGGCCAACUGGCUCGAUACUGACGCUGAGGUGCGAAAGCGUGGGGAGCAAACAGGAUUAGAUACCCCGGUAGUCCCUGAGCGGGCUGGCAAGGCGCAU